GACAGCCCUGGUCCCAAAUCCUGUGCAGGUUCCAUCAGUCCCAAAACGAUAACAAAAAGCGGAUGAAAACAGGAGAAAUCAGCCCUACAAAUGACCCUCAAUUUGCUUGGACAUAGCCAAGAUGCUCCCCAUGGGAUCUACCCAUUUAUGGUUGUUUCAAUCUUCUAAUGAUUUUACCAGCCAUAGCAAAACUUUCCAAGCCCUUUGGGCACAUUUGUGCAGCAGCACUCUCAUUCUUCAUGCAGAGAAAAGCAGACUGUGGGGAAAUCCUUCAUUUGCUACAAAAUCCUGCAGUCGUCCCUGAGAGUUUCAGCCCUGCACACAAUGUGGGACCUCUUCUAAUAUGGGAGUGGAGAAGAAGAUGCACCCCAUCCUUGCACAGUAACCUGCUGAGAAGGGACCACCUUUCUACAAAGCGAAGAGUUUCACAAACUGCUGUUGUCAUUCCCUCCAUCAUCUCUUUCCCGGGCUGAGGACUUCUACCAUGUGUCUCCAUCUAUGGAAGAGCCACCGCUAAGAAAGAGCCCACCUUUUCAGAGGACUACCCUCAAGGACUCCAAGAUCUCCUUCCCAUGUGAUGAAACAAAUUUGAAGUCCAGAUCACUGAAAAGUCCUGCAACUUAAACAUGCAGAUGACAGAUUCAGGAAGUGAUCAGGUACACAAGGUCUUCUCCAGGCCUGAGGAAUCAGAGAACAGCCGAAGCACAGGCUGCUCCAGCUUUGUUAUUCACCUCAAGGGACAACCUACUACGAGUAGAGGAGCCUCAUUAUUCAGAAAAUUACCAUGAAUUAACCUCCAUCCUGAUUAGCUCGCAGUGACUGCAACUCACAUUUAGUCAAUAAUACAUAAUGUGCAACCCCUCUGUUUUCUAGUGGGACAGUCUCUGUCCUCAAAGGUUUUGUAGUGCAGUGGCUGAUUGCCCCAAGGCCAAUGUCAGGACCAGCCUCUGAAUUUGUCUGUAAAUGAGAGGUGGUGAGUAACCCAGGGUGGAACAAGCCCUUUGUGCAAACACUACUUUAUUGUGCUUUCACUGAAGAAGAUAAUUUUGCUCCGGAGAAGUGAUUUCUUAAUGUCUUGAGGCGGGAUAAUCCUCUGGCUCAGUGGUCAGAGUCCUAUAGCCAAGACCUGAAGCAGAACUCAAGCUGAGACUAGAAAUGAGAAUCUAAACCAGGAGCAAACCAAAAUCAGUGAUAAAAUGAGACAGAAAAAAGAGCCAGGAGAGGACACCAAGCCUUGAAGUGCCCAAGUCACCCACGGAGAACGUCAGACUGUACUUGUUCCCCACCAUACUGGGAUGAAGUACCUUACAGAUUCCCUGCUUCUAUGGGAUGGCAUCACCAGUCCAGAAGGUGAUGGGCCAUCUCACCUCCCAAGUAGGUGCAUCUCUGGCAUUGGAGGCAUCACCAUGUCAGGUUCCCAAGUAGGUGGUCCAAGGCUUGGGAGAACAUCUUCUAACAUGGCUCCUCCACCAGGCUGGGGCAGAAUGGUGUCACUCCUACAGACCCAACCCCUCUUGCCUGUACCAACACUCACCAUCCUCGUCCAUCCCAUGGACUGGACCUCGUGUCCUGCUGCCUCGCCAUUUCCUACAUCCCUACAGUAUCACCAAAUCCAUCCACCCAUCUGAUAUCUCCCCAAAACCAUUAUUUCUUGUGCAGUGCUGAUUCUCACCCCAACAGCAGCACCUUUAAUCUUUUUCCCACUGAUUCAAGAUCUCAUGGCCUUGUCCGUCCUCACCCCUGGAGAUGCUCCCCACCCCCACAGCACCCCACGCUGUGACCCUGGGGACAUCCCCAUCACUCCCCUUCAGCAUUGAUACCCAUUGGGAUAUUUGCAGACGGUCAUGGUGACUUUUCGUGGGAUCUGCCAGUGGCACAGCCAAUGGCAAAGAAGACAGAGGAGAGGAGAGGGUAAAGUUUGGA